AGGACGAACGCUGGCGGCGUGCUUAACACAUGCAAGGUCGAACGGGGAUAUGCGAGCGGAAGGCUUCGGCCGGAAGGUGCAUAUCGAGUGGCGGACGGGUGAGUAACGCGUGAACAAUCUGUCCCAGACAGGGGGAUAACACUUGGAAACAGGUGCUAAUACCGCAUAAGACCACGGAGUCGCAUGGCACUGGGGUAAAAGGAGCAAUCCGGUUUGGGGUGAGUUCGCGUCCGAUUAGCCAGUUGGUGAGGUAACGGCCCACCAAAGCGACGAUCGGUAGCCGACCUGAGAGGGUGAUCGGCCACAUUGGAACUGAGAGACGGUCCAAACUCCUACGGGAGGCAGCAGUGGGGAAUAUUGGGCAAUGGGCGAAAGCCCUGACCCAGCAACGCCGCGUGAGUGAAGAAGGCCUUCGGGUUGUAAAGCUCUGUUAUAGGGGACGAAGGAAGUGACGGUACCCUAUAAGGAAGCCCCGGCUAACUACGUGCCAGCAGCAGC
rnacentral:rRNA from 1 species